AAAUGCAAAAAUCAGUUCACCUUAUGUAAAAGAAAUAUGCCUCAAUAUGAAACAAUUCUCAAUCUUUGGACAAUAGAAUAAAGACUUAAAAGUAAGUUUAUGGAAAUGAAAAUUACCAUAUGCCACUCUGUAACUAUUAAUCUUAAGUGUUAUAUAAUUGUUUUCAAAAUCAAUAAGCAAUCCUUAGAGGAGAACAAUAGUAUACCUUUGUUUGAAUUUGCAAAUGCACCCAAAACAACAUUUAUUGGUUAUUUUGGGUGACAAGUUUCAAUUCUCUUCAUCUAUAAGCCCUACAAGCUAAGGAUAAUUGAUUUAUAAGAAGAAUCUAAUUUUUAAAUUUUUUUCUGUUUAGAAAAAUUUACACUUUACACUUGAAACUGUAUACAUUAUUUGAUUAAAGUAUGAAGUUACAAUUUAAAAAAAGUUGUUAUACAUAUUAGGGGACCCAUUGUUAGCUAAUUUUAUCUACUGAAAAAGUGCUUAUCUUUCUAAAAAAAAUUCGCAGUAAAUGCAACUGUCUACUUAUAAUAGUGCACUAUCAAAUUUUUUAUGACGUUGGCAUUGAUGUCGUUGUCGUCAUCGUCGUCGUCCGAAGAUACAUUGGUUUUCGCACAAGAAAUUUAGUUUAAGUAAAUGGAUCUCUAUGAAAUUUUACCAUAAGCUUCAAUACCACAAAAGGAAGGUUGGGAUCGAUUUUGGGGGUUAGGGUACCAACAGUUAAGGAAAAAGGGGCCAAAAAGGGGCCAAAAAUAAGCAUUUUUGUAACUUCCAGACAUAACUUGUGUGUUAGUGUAUGGAUCUCUCUGACAUUGUACCACAAGGUUCCAUAUCACUAAAGGAAUGCUGGGAUUGAUUUUGGGGGUAAUUGCCUCCAAAUUUUAGGAAUUAGGGGCCAAAAAAGGGGCAAAAAACAAGCAUUUUUCUAGUUUCAUGACAAUAACUUGUGUGUAAGUGUAUGGAUCUUUCUGAAAUUGUACUACAAGGUUCCAUAUCACAAAGGGAAAGCUGGGUUUGAGUUUGGGGGUAAUUGCCCUAAACGUUUAGGAAUUUGGGGCCAAAAAGGGGCCAAAAAACACAUUUUUUUCUAGUUUCCAGACAAUAACUUGUGUUCAAGUGUAUGGAUCUCUCUGAAAUUGUACUGCAAGGUACCAUACCACAAAGGGAAGGCUGGGAUUGAGUUUUGGGGUGAUGAAUCAUAAUGGGGGUUCAAAAAAUUUUGGGGGGGGAUUUAUUUUUUUUUCCUUUUUUUUCUUUUUUUCCUUUUUUGUUUCUUUUAAAAUUUUCCAUUUUAAGUUGGUUAUUUCUGAUUUAUAUUUAAAAUCAAAUAAUAAUGAUAUGGUAGGAGAUACACACCAAACAGGAUGUGUAAAUUAUUAUAUAAUAAGUAUUGUGCAAUAGCAAGAAAUUUUCAAUUGCACAGUAUUGCACAAUAGCAAGAAAUCUUCAAUUGCACAGUAUUGCGCAAUAGCAAGAAAUCUUCAAUUGCACAUGUACAGUAUUGCGCAAUAGCAAGAAAUAUCCAAUAGCACAAUAUUGCGCAAUAGCAAGAAAUUGUCAAUUGUACAGUAUUGCGCAAUAGCAAGAAAUAUUUAAUAGCACAGGAUUGUGCAAAAGAAGAUACUUCCUAUAAAUUGCUUAUUUCUUGACCAAUUUCAAUGGGGUUUUAUUCUUGAUUUCAUGGGGUUCUUUAAUAUGCUGAAUCUAACCGUGUAUUUAGUUUUUGGAUUUUGGGCCCCGUUUUUAAAUUGGUCCACAUUGAGGUCCAAAGGGUCCAAAAUUAAACUUUGUUUGAUUUCAUCAAAAAUUGAAUUAUUGGGGUUCUUUGAUAUGCCGAAUCUAACUGUGUAUUUAGAUUCUUAAAUUUUGGUUCCGUUUUCAAAUUGGUCUACAUUAAGGUCCAAAGGGUCCAAAAUUAAACUGAGUUUGAUUUUAACAAAAAUUGAAUUCUUAGGGUUCUUUGAUAUGCUGAAUCUAAACAUGUAUUUAGAUUUUUGAUUAUGGGCCCAGUUUUCAAGUUGGUCCAAAUCGGGGUCCAAAAUUAAACUUUGUUUGAUUUCAACAAAAAUUGAAUAUAUGGGGUUCUUUGAUAUGCUGAAUCUAACCAUGUAUUUAGAUUUUUGAUUUUUGGGCCCCGUUAUCAACUUUGUCCACAUUGAGGUCAAAAGGGUCCAAAAUUAAACUUUGUUUGAUUUCAUCAAAAAUUGAAUUAUUGGGUUCUUUGAUAUGCCGAAUCUAACUGUGUAUUUAGAUUCUUAAAUUUUGGUUCUGUUUUCAAAUUGGUCUACAUUAAGGUCCAAAGGGUCCAAAAUUAAACUUAGUUUGAUUUUAACAAAAAUUGAAUUCUUAGGGUUCUUUGAUAUGCUGAAUCUAAACAUGUAUUUAGAUUUUUGAUUAUGGGCCUAGUUUUCAAGUUGGUCCAAAUCGGGGUCCAAAAUUAAACUUUGUUUGAUUUCAACAAAAAUUGAAUAUAUGGGGUUCUUUGAUAUGCUGAAUCUAACCAUGUAUUUAGAUUUUUGAUUUUUGGGCCCCGUUAUCAACUUUGUCCACAUUGAGGUCAAAAGGGUCCAAAAUUAAACUUUGUUUGAUUUCAUCAAAAAUUGAAUUAUUGGGGUUCUUUGAUAUGCCGAAUCUAACUGUGUAUUUAGAUUCUUAAUUUUUGGUUCCGUUUUCAAAUUGGUCUACAUUAAGGUCCAAAGGGUCCAAAAUUAAACUUAGUUUGAUUUUAACAAAAAUUGAAUUCUUAGGGUUCUUUGAUAUGCUGAAUCUAAACAUGUAUUUAGAUUUUUGAUUAUGGGCCCAGUUUUCAAGUUGGUCCAAAUCGGGGUCCAAAAUUAAACUUUGUUUGAUUUCAACAAAAAUUGAAUAUAUGGGGUUCUUUGAUAUGCUGAAUCUAACCAUGUAUUUAGAUUUUUGAUUUUUGGGCCCCGUUAUCAACUUUGUCCACAUUGAGGUCAAAAGGGUCCAAAAUUAAACUUUGUUUGAUUUCAUCAAAAAUUGAAUUAUUGGGUUCUUUGAUAUGCCGAAUCUAACUGUGUAUUUAGAUUCUUAAAUUUUGGUUCUGUUUUCAAAUUGGUCUACAUUAAGGUCCAAAGGGUCCAAAAUUAAACUUAGUUUGAUUUUAACAAAAAUUGAAUUCUUAGGGUUCUUUGAUAUGCUGAAUCUAAACAUGUAUUUAGAUUUUUGAUUAUGGGCCUAGUUUUCAAGUUGGUCCAAAUCGGGGUCCAAAAUUAAACUUUGUUUGAUUUCAACAAAAAUUGAAUAUAUGGGGUUCUUUGAUAUGCUGAAUCUAACCAUGUAUUUAGAUUUUUGAUUUUUGGGCCCCGUUAUCAACUUUGUCCACAUUGAGGUCAAAAGGGUCCAAAAUUAAACUUUGUUUGAUUUCAUCAAAAAUUGAAUUAUUGGGGUUCUUUGAUAUGCCGAAUCUAACUGUGUAUUUAGAUUCUUAAUUUUUGGUUCCGUUUUCAAAUUGGUCUACAUUAAGGUCCAAAGGGUCCAAAAUUAAACUUAGUUUGAUUUUAACAAAAAUUGAAUUCUUAGGGUUCUUUGAUAUGCUGAAUCUAAACAUGUAUUUAGAUUUUUGAUUAUGGGCCCAGUUUUCAAGUUGGUCCAAAUCGGGGUCCAAAAUUAAACUUUGUUUGAUUUCAACAAAAAUUGAAUAUAUGGGGUUCUUUGAAAUGCUGAAUCUAACCAUGUAUUUAGAUUUUUGAUUUUUGGGCCCCGUUAUCAACUUUUUCCACAUUGAGGUCAAAAGGGUCCAAAAUUAAACUUUGUUUGAUUUCAUCAAAAAUUGAAUUCUUGGGGUUCUUUGAUAUGCUGAAUCUAACCAUGUAUUUAGAUUUUGGAUAUUGGACCAUAAUAGGUGAAUGUCCAAUUUAAAAUUUUUAAGUUCUUAGACCACAUUCAAUCUGUGUUAGAAACCUAUGCUGUGUCAAAUAUUUAAUCACAAUCCAAAUCCAAAGCUGUAUCAAGCUUGAAUGUUGUGUCCAUACUUCCCAAAACUGUUCAGGGUUCGACCUCUGCGGUCGUAUCAAGCUGCACCCUGCGGAGCAUUUUAUUUGUUAUUAUUUUGAAUAUUAUUAUAGAUAUAUAUAAACUGUAAGCAGCAAUAAUGUUCAGCAAAGUAAGAUCUACAAAAAAGUUAAUAUGACCAUAAUUGUCAAUUGACCCCUUAAGGAGUUAUUGCUGUUUAAAGACAAUUUUACACAAUUUGUUCAUCAAGUUUGCUAAUAUUUAAAAAUCUUCUCUGAAAUACAGGUGAGCGAUUCAGGCUCUUGAGAGCCUCUUGUUCUAGUUUCCAGACAAUAACUUGUGUUCAAGUGUAUGGAUCUCUCUGAAAUUGUACCAUACCACAAAGGGAAGGCUGGGAUGGAUUUUGGGGGUAAUUGCCUCAAAAUUUUAGGAAUUGGGGGCCAAAAAGGGGCAAAUAACAAGCAUUUUUGGCUCACCUGGCCUGAAGGGCCAAGUGGGCUUUUCUCAUCACUUGCCGUCCGUCAUCCGUCGUUUUUUGUCGUUGUAGUCCGUCGACGUUAGUUUUUACAAAAAUCUUCUCCUCUGAAAUCACUCGGCCAAAUUUAACCAAACUUGGCCACAAUCAUCAUUAGGGUAUCUAGUUUAAAAAAUGUGUCCGAUGACCCCGCUAACCAACCAAGAUGGCCGCCAUGGCUAAGAACAUAGGGGUAAAAUGUAGAUUUUGGCUUAUAUCUCUGAAACCAAAGCAUUUAGAGUAAAUCUGACAUAGGGUAAAACUGAUUAUCAGGUCAAGAUCUAUCUGCCCUGAAAUUUUCAGACAAAUCUGACAACCUGUUGUUGGGUUGCUGCCCCUAAAAUUGGUAAUUUUAAGGAAAUUUUGCAGUUUUUAUACGACUGCAAAAAAAUUUUUGUGGUCGUAUAUUGGUAUGACGUUGGCGUCGUCGUCGUCGUCUGGCGUCGUCCGAAGACACAUUGGUUUUCGCACUCUAACUUUAGUUUAAGUGAAUGGAUCUCUAUGAAAUUUUACCACAAGGUUCAAUACCACAAAAGGAAGGUUGGGAUUGAUUUUGGGGGUUAUGGUACCAACAGUAAAGGAAUUAGGGGCCAAAAAGGGGCCAAAAAUAAGCAUUUUUGUAACUUCCAGACAUAACUUGUGUGUUAGUGUAUGGAUCUCUCUGACAUUGUACCACAAGGUUCCAUAUCACAAAAGGAAUGCUGGGAUUGAUUUUGGGGGUAAUUGCCUCCAAAUUUUAGGAAUUAGGGGCCAAAAAAGGGACAAAAAACAAGCAUUUUUCUAGUUUCAUGACAAUAACUUGUGUGUAAGUGUAUGGAUCUUUCUGAAAUUUUACUACAAGGUUCCAUAUCACAAAGGGAAAGCUGGAAUUGAGUUUGGGGGUAAUUGUCGAAACGUUUAGGAAUUGGGGGCCUAAAAGGGGCCAAAAAUAAGCAUUUUUCUAGUUUCCAGACAAUAACUUGUGUUCAAGUGUAUGGAUCUCUCUGAAAUUGUACUGCAAGGUACCAUACCACAAAGGGAAGGCUGGGAUUGAUGAUGGGGGUAAUUGCCUCAAUAUUUUAGGAAUUAGGGGCCAAAAAGGGGCAAAAAACACAUUUUUCUAGUUUCAGGACAAUUACUUGUGUGUAAGUGUAUGGAUCUUUCUGAAAUUGUACUACAAGGUUCCAUAUCACAUAGGGAAAGCUGGGUUUGAGUUUUGGGGUAAUUGCCCUAGACGUUUAGGAAUUUGGGGCCAAAAAGGGAAAAAAAACACAUUUUUCUAGUUUUCAGACAAUAACUUGUGUUCAAGUGUAUGGAUCUCUCUGAAAUUGUACUGCAAAGUACCAUACCACAAAGAGAAGGCUGGGAUUGAGUUUGGGGGUGAUGAAUCAUAAGGGGGUUCAAAAAAUUUGGGGGGGGGGGAUUUUUUUUUUUUCCUUUUUUUUCUUUUUUUCCUUUUUUUUUUCUUUUAAAAUUUUCCAUUUUAAGUUGGUUAUUUCUGAUUUACAUUUAAAAGCAAAUAAUAAUGAUAUGGUAGGAGAUACACACCAAACAGGAUGUGUAAAUUAUUGUGCAAUAGCAAGAAAUUUUCAAUUGAACAGUAUUGCACAAUAGCAAGAAAUCUUCAAUUGCACAGUAUUGCGCAAUAGCAAGAAAUCUUCAAUUGCACAGUAUUGCGCAAUAGCAAGAAAUAUCCAAUAGCACAAUAUUGCGCAAUAGCAAGAAAUUGUCAAUUGUACAGUAUUGCGCAAUAGCAAGAAAUAUUUAAUUGCACAGUAUUGUGCAAAAGAAGAUACUUCGUAUAAAUUGCUUAUUUCUUGACAAAUUUCAAUGGGGUUUUAUUCUUGAAUUCUUGGGGUUCUUUAAUAUGCUGAAUCUAACCGUGUAUUAAGUUUUUGGAUUUUGGGCCCCGUUUUUAAAUUGGUCCACAUUGAGGUCCAAAGGGUCCAAAAUUAAACUUUGUUUGAUUUCAUCAAAAAUUGAAUUAUUGGGGUUCUUUGAUAUGCCGAAUCUAACCGUGUAUUUAGAUUCUUAAUUUUUGGUUCCGUUUUCAAAUUGGUCUACAUUAAGGUCCAAAGGGUCCUAAAUUAAACUUAGUUUGAUUUUAACAAAAAUUGAAUUCUUAGGGUUCUUUGAUAUGCUGAAUCUAAAUAUGUAUUUAGUUUUUUGAUUAUGGGCCCAGUUUUCAAGUUGGUCCAAAUUGGGGUCCAAAAUUAAACUUUGUUUGAUUUCAACAAAAAUUGAAUAUAUGGGGUUCUUUGAUAUGCUGAAUCUAACCAUGUAUUUAGAUUUUUGAUUUUUGGGCCCCGUUAUCAACUUUGUCCACAUUGAUGUCAAAAGGGUCCAAAAUUAAACUUUGUUUGAUUUCAUCAAAAAUUGAAUUCUUGGGGUUCUUUGAUAUGCUGAAUCUAACCAUUAUUUAGAUUUUGGAUAUUGGACCAUAAUAGGUGAAUGUCCAAUUUAAAAUUUUUAAGUUCUUAGACCACAUUCAUUCUGUGUCAGAAACCUAUGCUGUGUCAAAUAUUUAAUCACAAUCCAAAUGCAAAGCUGUAUCAAGCUUGAAUGUUGUGUCCAUACUUGCCCCAACUGUUCAGGGUUCGACAUCUGCGGUUGUAUCAAGCUGCGCCCUGCGGAGCAUUUUAUUUGUUAUUAUCUUGAAUAUUAUUAUAGAUAGAGAUAAACUGUAAACAGCAAUAAUGUUUAGCAAAGUAAGAUCUACAAAUAAGUUGUCAUGACCAAAAUUGUCAGUUGACCCCUUUAGGAGUUAUUGCCCUUAAUAGUCAAUUUUUAACAAUUUUUCGUAAAUUUUUGUAAUCUUGUACCAAAAUCUUAUUCUCUGAAACUACUGAGACAAAUUUAACCAUACUUGGCCAUAAUCAUUAUUAGGGUAUCUAGUUUAAAAAAUUUGUCCGAUGACCCCUCUUUCUAACCAUCAUGGCCGACUUGGUUAAAAAUAGACCAUAGGGGUAAAAUGCAGUUUUUGGUUUAUAUCUCUGAAACUAAAGCAUUUAGAGCAAAUCUGACAGGUGGCAAAAAUGUUCAUCAGAUUUAGAUUUAUCUGCCCUGAAAUUUUCAGACGAAUCCGACAACCUGUUGUUGGGUUGCUGCCCCUGAGUUAGUAAUUUUACAAAAAUUUUGCAGUUUUUUGUUAUUAUCUUAGAUAUCAUUAUAAUAUCUAAUAUCUAAUACUAUUAAUUAUGAUUUUAACUGUAUUUUACAUGAUUUCCAAAGCAUCAGUAAAUACAGGUGAGCGACACAGUCUCUUGAGAGCCUCUAGUUU